GACAUCUGUUGGACAAGACAAAAGGUUGCAAGGAGGCAGGAUGUGAAUUGGGAGAUCACUGGAGACACUCCCUUCCUUCCCCUCUCCCUGAUCCAACAUGAACACGGGCAAGAGGGCACCUGACACCACACUGAAACCACAACCAGAACACCCCAGAAGACAGGAACAUCCUCCCUCACAGAGGAUCACACCACUGUUUCUUUUCUCCAUGAGGUAAGAGCAUCCAAAAAUCCAGUCUGCAAAAAAAACUACAUCCUUCCACCCCAUCCAGGUGUCACACAGAGAAGUUAAUGCACAGAGCACACAGUCAGAUACUGCAGCUGCUCAGGGAGAUCUAAGCAAGAACAAGCACCUGCUGCCUGCAGGACCAGCAGAUACAGGUGCAAACAGGAAAUGGAAAACCCUUUCCAUGAACAGUCCUACCCCACAUCACUGCACCCCCCAACCCCACAGCUACCAGAGCAACACGGUCCUACUCCACUCAAAUCCAGCCCUCUGAGCUUGGGGCCUGAACUGCAGGUCCCCCACACAGCAAAGUGCCACCUGGCCACAAGGUUCUCACCAAAUCUUCAGCAUCACUUGGAAAUCUGACUAACAGUAAAGCAAAAUGAUGGUUUGGUGAGAGGGGUCCUAAACGCCCCCGUUCAAGAGCCAGAGGGGCUUCCAGUCCAGCACACUUACAAAGAGUGUGAUGGAAGUACAACAACUUUUCUAGCACUCCCCACUGCUACCCAGAGGAUCUGAUACCCAGUAAGAAAACACUGCCUUGUCCUCAAGCUGAGAAGGCAAAACGAAGCUCCAGGAAGUUCCAAAACAAACUGAUUUUUCUUGUUACAAAAUGACAGAAUUUGUGACUUGGAGGAGAACGAGGACAUUACACACCUACUUCACUCCGCAAUUGCACUCUGUGGGAACUCACUGAGAGAGAAACAAUUUUGGCAGAUGUGGGUCAGCAAGAGCUAUGAUCUCAUAGUCUGAGAAGCAACAGGCUGCUCUCCAAGGGGGAAGAGCCUUCUGGCUCAAAACCUGUGCUUACCUUCCACUGUUCCUUGCAGAAUGUAUAGGGCACAGAUUUUCGGAUUGUCAUAGUAGCCCUAGAGAAAGCAAAGGCAGCAGUCAGUGCUGCAGUUCUGAGGCAAGGAAUGGUCUCCCCACAUCCCAUCCCCUCUCCUCCAGCACAGAGCUGCACUGCACAGCUGGGGAACAAGGAGAAAGGGGAGAUCAGGGCUCUGCCCUGGAAAGCUUAUUACCUUUACAAACUCAAUGUGGAGCUUCCCCGUGAACGUGGAAACCUCCCCCUGGACACUCAGUUUCCCCUUUUUGAUACUCAUGGGAAUGAUCUCAUCGUGAGCUGUGCUGUGUCCAACUCUGUCAAAAAUGUCCAAGUCUUUCACCACCACGUGGCCAUUCAAGCGAACAUCAAAUACCUUCAGGGUGAAAGAAACGACAGAGAGUCAGAACAGAUUCAGGCACGUGACAGCUGAAAUGGGAACAGAACAGGAAAGGUCUCUGCUUGUUAUGCACCCAGGACCUGAAAGCACUGUAACAUGCACUGCCCCACUCCCUUGGGAAGGAUUCAAAGCCCAAAGCAGCCAGGUAGAGACACUGAAGCAUUAACCUUGCUUUCAAAUACCCUGGAACCUGCCUCCUCCUUUUAAAAUCCCCCCUACAUCUGCUGUUCUGAACUGAGGACAGAAGAAUUUUAUUCUGGUUUAUUCAUGCUUUUCUUUCAAACUUUCUUUCCACCUCCUGUCGGAGGACCUGCUCCUACCACCCCGGGGUGGCUGUGGCACACCACACCCUAGGGAGUGAAGCCAUUUCUAACUAACAGCCUGCAGCAGAACAGAGAGGAGGAAACAAGCUGCUGAAGAACACAGGGUUUGAAGGAGGUAAAAUGUUUAACUGCUAACCACAUCUGUGAAUUCAUAGUGAAAGUCCUCCUCAGGGCUGCAAUGACUCAAACUUCACUCAGCACCUGGGGAAUCCCAGCAGAACCACAUCAAGGAAGAGGAACCAAAGAUGCCUCAGCCCUUCAGUUUAAUCUGAAGCUGCUUUUUGCAUCCGUUCUGUAAGCCAGCCCCACCGGUUCUGUUCCCUGAAAUACCUCUCUGGCAGGAAGGCAGCACAGUACUUAAGGAGAUCAGCUCUAAAGAAGCUGAUGGAGUCAAGGGAAAGACAGGCUAUUACACAACCCACUCCUACCCCAAUUUAUCACAGGGCUUUGAGUUUUUGUGCUUCUGUUUCCACCUCUGCACACAAGGUAUUUCAAAAGUGGACAAGAGCAACAAAGAGGGUGAAUUUAAUUCUGUGUUUUCAGGAUCAGACUGAGCUAGUAUCAAGUCUUAUUUCAUUUGUAAAAAUUGUUUUGAGUAGGUUCCAGAUCACCUCCCUGCUUCAAUCUGUGCAAUACUUCCUCCAACACAACUGUGCUGUCACGGCAGGAACAACUGUUCAGGAAAAACGUAAAAAAACUCUUCGAAACCAGCACAGCCUAAACAGGUCAUAAAACUCUAUUGCUAGUUAUGUUUAGUUGGACAUGGUUUUUGAAUGCUUUGAAAUGCAGUUUCCCAGUCUGACUGUAUAGCUGGAACGUGGGAGAGAGCUCUAAAGUUUCAGAGCCUGUGAGAGCUCUAGGAUCUAAGUUAACCACCAGUGCCUUACUUCACUCCUUCCUCCAGCAUGCAAAGCAGCAGAGGCAACCUGAGAACACACUGUCAUAGCCAGGAACUCACAUCAGAGACACACAUGAGCUGUUGCUUACCUUCUGUUGAGACUGUGCAAAAUAGACCUCUGCAAACUUCAACACCAGCACAUAGUCACCCUCCUCUUUGAUGGGAACUUCAUAGCCAAAGGUUUCCUCAUUGUAGCGCUCGGUCUGGUACAGAAUCUGGUCUUCUGCGUUGGACCGCAGGAUUGGCAGCUUCAUCCCGUAGUCAGAAGCUGGUUUUCAAGCACAAAAGAGUGAGAGGAGGGGUUAAUUUCUGAGGCACAUGCAAGAAACACUUUAUAUACUCUUAUAGUGCUUAACUCCACAAGUAGCAUUUGCAUCCUUGUCAGACCCGUCUCCCCUCCUUGCUCUGACCAGGUGGCGGCACUACUGGAGCAGAAGCAGAGGGAGCCAAAGCCCCAGAACCCCAGCCCUGUAGGAAAACAGCUCUGGACCUGCUGCAGUCCAGACAAAGUAAAUUCACUUGCACCAUUUCAGAAAGAAGAGCUUGUUUCACAAACAGUGCACAAAGCCGAAAGACUUGGCCAUUGGCUCUUGUUCCUAAGAGGAAAAACACCUAGAAUAUUUUUACAGUAUUUUCAAAUCUCAGAGCCUGAGUAGAAAACAAAAACAGUGGGCACAGGACUGACUUGACUCAUUGAUACAACAGAUUUGAAGGUAGCAGUUGAUGGCAUCAGGUUUUAGAGACUCAUCCCCCUCAAGUGAAAACCUAGGGGAUGGCAGAAGUGUGAAAAGCAUUAGGCAUCUUACAACACCCUUUCCUCUCAUCGCAGCCCUGCAAUACUGUCAGCUUGAAGACAGGAAGAAGGAAGCAAGAUACACAAGGGUUUCAAGAGCACCAACAGCUCCAUCAGCUGCUGUUCUCACAGCCACCCAGCUGAAGUGGGUGCUGUCUGCAGCCAUCUGAACAGCCCUCUGAGAAGGGCCCAAACAACAUUCCUAAACAGGACAAUAACUGACAAAAUAAGAGAAAUCAUAAAAUUUGCCUCUUCUCACUGAUUGUUUCACCAUGUCUCAAGCAGCCCCCAAAAGACUUUAACUCGACUUGGCAUUUUAUUGUGCCAGGGUUACUGUACAAAUGCAAACUGAUGCAAUGCCUCCUGAGCUGCAAAUCCAACGACUCCCCAGCGAAGCAGGGGCAGGAGGGAAGACUGUGGACACCAUCUGCCCACUGGCACUUGAGGCAGGAGAAGUUGAUCCAGACGAAGUUCUCUGCUGACACUUACCACUUCCAACCCCAUUUCCAUGGGAACAGACACUGCAUCAGCCAAGACAAAGCAAGAACUACUAACCCAGAGCACGUUGCCAAAGACGGAGCCAAUGCAAACGAGUGAGAGGAAAUUAAUGCCAGUUCUUAGUCUCCUGUUUCACACAGAGCUGUUCAGGCGAUCGUCCGCUUCUCUGUACCACCCGAACCUGGGCGCAAGGACUGAACACUCUAAUCACCAGAAACACAGAGGGUGAAAAGUUUAACCUGUCCUCCCACACAGGUAUUUCUGGCCAGCUACAGAUUACAGCGACAGCAAACCAAGGACUCCACAGAAGUACGUUUCUAUUAGAGGAAAGCCUGCACAGGAAGCAAGUCCUUUAAUAGCCAAGAAGGUAACUGGAGAGGAAGACCUGUCACCUGCAUGUCAGAGCCCUGCUGACAGAGCUGUGGAGGCGAGCUGGGUUUUAUAGCAGGCUGGGUGCUCACUGGGAGCAAGCAGUGCCCAUCAAGCUGUAACACAACUAUGCCUGGCACCUGCCUAAUUCUGUAAUUGCCACCAGCACAUUCAGUCCUUCAGGGUACAGCGGCUGAACUGAGGCUUGAAAAAAAAGGUUUUAAUUUGCCCAGAGGCAGGACAGCCCAGAAUUACUAUCCCUAGGUCAUUUCCUCCCAGUCAGCCAUAUAUUUCUGCUGAAGCCAUUACAUGCCUAUCAACACAGAGGAACCCAGAGAAAACGAACAAUGGUGCAAUAAAAAGCCAUUGAGGGAAAUGCAGCUGAGAGCUCAAAGGGGUAAAGUCUUCACUGUGCCUGGCACCACUGGCUGAAGCAGAAUUACUGCAAUGGCCUGCUGUGCAGAGGAGACACCACAGGCUUUCCUCAAAGGAAGAACAUGUCACAAUGUGCUUGAGAAAGACCCUUUUUUCUCCUCAACUCAGAAAUAAAUUGUUCCAGUCCACAAGGACAUUCAAGUGACACAUGUGAGAGGUCUAUGAAGGGAAGCUGACCUGCAGCAGUCAAGGCACCUUGGGCAAUUGGGGCGCCAGCUUCCAUGGGUGUGAAAAACAAACCAUAUUAGAACUUAAAUGUAACCUCCCCUGCAUCCACUGUGCCCAAAAGGCUCUCCAUUUGGGAUAGCACUCAUGCAGGGUAAGCAAUGGCAGUGCCAGCUGCAUAGCACAGGAAUGUCCUCACCAUCCUACAUGGAAACAGUGAAGGUUAGACUCAAAAGUCAACAGAUAGCUCAUCUUCUCCACACUCCACCUGGAAAUGACUGCAGAGCAGCUCAGCACAGCUAACUUUUUAUACAUCUGUGAAUCAACUAAGUUUUGGUGUGCUAAUUAUCAGAAACAUGCACGAUUCAUACAACUGGAGUGGUUUCAAAGGAAGUAAGAAAAGGUAACCCAAGUGCAGUAUUAGUUCUACGUUCUGUUCUAACUAGUAGAGUGAAGAUUUUACUGAUCAGUAGCUACAGCAGCUGAUGAUAUCCCAUCUGCCUCUACUUCUACUUGUGUCCCUGCCCUUGAACACCCUGCCAGGACUGGGGCAUGGAGCAGACCAGCCAGCUGCACCUUCCCCCUGCUCGGGCCCAGCAGGACCAGAACGCUGCAACCAUCAGCCCGCACCGCCAGCGAUCCGGACCCGGCUGCGGAGGGCGGGCAGUGCGUGUUCUGACUGCAAGGUGCGUGCUGCGGGCUGGCUGCGAACCGGCAGGUCCUGCUGUGGAAGCCGGGCUGUUCAGUGGAAAACAAGAGAAAGAAGGAUCCCGGCGGCCGCACGCGGCCAGGCUGGCAGCCUUUCCAGCCGAAAUCCCACUCCAAGCCCGCGCGAAGCCACUUCCCCCCCGGCAUUACACAACCCCGCAGCCUGAGGACACCAUCCCGCAGGGCUCAUCCCGCAGGGCUCAUCCCGCCGCCUCCGGGGCCCCGGGUCCGCGGGGGCGGGGGAUGCGGCCCCGGCUGGGCCCGGCGAGAGGACGGGGGUGGCCGCGGUCCCGCGGGUGACAAGUGCGGGCGCUCCCCGCGGGCCCCGCCGUCCCCGGGCGGCUGCGGGAGCGGAGCCCCCGCCGCGCUGCGGGAACACCCCCCGCUCUGCCGCGGGCCGGCAGCACGCGGGUCCCGCACCCUGCUGGCACGGCGGGACCCCACCGCGCCAGUGGAGCGGGACCCCGUGUGGAGCCCCGCCGACAACCCCCCCGCGCCCCCGGCGCGUCCCCCCGCCCUCACCUCGGCCCACGCGGCCCUCGAGCGGGUCCUUGCGGAAGUGGAUGCCGUUCACGUCCACGUGGGCAUCGCCGCCCGCGUUGACGGCCCAGACGACGCUGUCGGCGAUGCCGCCCGCCGCGCCCCGCAGCAGCAGCAGCGGCGGCAGCAGCAGCAGCACGGGCGGCAGCAGCGGCGCCCCGCGCGCACCGGCGCCCACCAUGUCGCGCUCCCGGCGCCGCGCCCGCCCCUUCCUGCCGCCGACAGGGGGCGGCCUGCCCUGCUGCCGGGGCGGGGCGCGCGCCGGCCAAUCCGCGCGCCGCACCGCGAAUAUUAAAUAACUGCCUGCCUGCUAUUGGGCGGCCACGGAUGUGUAUUUGCAUAUUCAUACGGCGGCGGGCCAAUGGGAGGUGGCGGUGGGCAGGCGGGCUGAGCGGCGCGGGGCCGGUGGCUGGAGCGGGUCCCCGCGGGCCGGGGCGCGGGGCCGGGGCCGGGACCGGGACUGCCCGCGCGGGAAGGGAACGAGAGGGAACCGGCUCCGCAGAAAUGAGCGGGAGAUACAGACGGGGCUUCCCAGCGGUGUCCGCAGCGGGGACAGCCCGGCGAGCUGCCCCGAGCGCCGGCCGCCAGGGCAGAGCCCGCCCCUCCGCGCCGCCAAUCGCGGGGCUCCAGCGCGGCGGAGCGCGGGGCGGCGGCGGGAAGCGCGGCCGGCGGGUUGCCGUGGCAACGAGUGGCGCGGCGGCGCGGAGCGGAGCGGGCCCGGAGCGCUCGGGGAAGGGGCCGGGAGGGGAGCGAGGCAGCGGGAGCCCCGCCGCCGCGUCCCGGCAGCUCCGUGCCCGCUGCGCUCUGAACAGCAGCCCAAAGGCCUGGUUCGCGGCCCCGGUAGAACGCGCCGAUUCUCCUGUUCGGCCCUGCCAUGGAGGAUGGGGGAAGGCAGCUGCCGCCCGCCCGGUAAGGAGCGAGGCGGCCAGUGGCGUGAAAGCACCUUGGAGCGCAGUAACCUGCAUGAGAAGCAAAGCGGGCACUGAAGGGGAGGCGGGAGGUGACCGUGACACGGCCAGCGGGGCUGCUCCCAGGGCUGCGCCUUAUAGGAGAAUGUAACAUCAUGGUUUUUUCUGGAGGACCUUGGCAAGGUCUUGGGAGGGCUGGAGUGAGACAUCCCAGAUGGAGGUUGAACGAAACUCAGUCCCUACACGGCGGGGGGAGCAAAUAACUCAAUGUUCGCCUCUGUGUUUGCCCUCCUGUCUGAUCGCGGUGCUCCUCGAGGCGUCAGACACCGGUGAGGCCUCGGGGGUGUGCUCCAGACACCGGCUGCAUUAGCAGCGGCUGCUCCUGAGUCCCAGUGAUGUUUUAUUAAUUUGAGUCUGCUACAAAGCAUUUACUUUUAGAAAUAAAGACUUUUGGUGCUGCA